UUUGCAAGAUUAUUAAACAACAAAUUGUUAAAACAGCUAUGCUGCUCUCUUUCUCCUUCCUGGUUUUGAUAUUUUUUUGUUCAAAAAGGACAGAUGCAGACUCAGUAACUCAGCCCGAAGGCACCGUUAUCAUCCAUGAAGGAAAAUCUGUGCUUCUUUAUUGCACCUAUGAUUACUCUGGGUCUCCUGUACUCUACUGGUAUGCGCAGUAUCCCCAUGAAGUCCCUAGCCUGUUGCUGACACAAUAUGGAACCUCGGACGAGGAGGAGAAGAGAUGCAGGCGAGGGUUCUCUGCUAAACUGGAGGAAAACUCCAAAUCCUUCCACCUGGAGAAAAACUCCAGCGAAGUGAGCGACUCUGCUGUCUAUUACUGCGCCUUGAGAGACACAGUGAGCAAAGCCACCUGGGAGCUGAACAAAAACCUCCCUGACUGAUAGAAACACAAAAGGCUGAAAUAGCUGAGAUUUCGCUUGUCAAGACCUCAGAGUGUAAUCUCUGUUCCUUAAUAUCUUUGUUUUAUUCUUCACCUUCUCCCCCCCACACGCGUUUUUUUUUACCUUAGC